rnacentral:rRNA from 1 species
AAUGGGCGAAAGCCUGAUGCAGCAACGCCGCGUGAGCGAUGAAGGCCUUCGGGUCGUAAAGCUCUGUCCUCAAGGAAGAUAAUGACGGUACCUGAGGAGGAAGCCACGGCUAACUACGUGCCAGCAGCCGCGGUAAUACGUAGGUGGCGAGCGUUGUCCGGAUUUACUGGGCGUAAAGGGAGCGUAGGCGGAUUUUUAAGUGAGAUGUGAAAUACCCGGGCUCAACUUGGGUGCUGCAUUUCAAACUGGAAGUCUAGAGUGCAGGAGAGGAGAGUGGAAUUCCUAGUGUAGCGGUGAAAUGCGUAGAGAUUAGGAAGAACACCAGUGGCGAAGGCGACUCUCUGGACUGUAACUGACGCUGAGGCUCGAAAGCGUGGGGAGCAAA